CCUUCCGUAGGUGAACCUGCGGAAGGAUCAUUACCGAGUGCGGGCCCCUCGGGGCCCAACCUCCCACCCGUGUUGCCCGAACCUAUGUUGCCUCGGCGGGCCCCGCGCCCGCCGACGGCCCCCCUGAACGCUGUCUGAAGUUGCAGUCUGAGACCUAUAACGAAAUUAGUUAAAACUUUCAACAACGGAUCUCUUGGUUCCGGCAUCGAUGAAGAACGCAGCGAAAUGCGAUAACUAAUGUGAAUUGCAGAAUUCAGUGAAUCAUCGAGUCUUUGAACGCACAUUGCGCCCUCUGGUAUUCCGGAGGGCAUGCCUGUCCGAGCGUCAUUGCUGCCCUCAAGCCCGGCUUGUGUGUUGGGCCCCGUCCCCCCCGCCGGGGGGACGGGCCCGAAAGGCAGCGGCGGCACCGCGUCCGGUCCUCGAGCGUAUGGGGCUUCGUCACCCGCUCUAGUAGGCCCGGCCGGCGCCAGCCGACCCCCAACCUUUAAUUAUCUCAGGUUGACCUCGGAUCAGGUAGGGAUACCCGCUGAACUUAAGCAUAUCAAUAAGCGGAGGA
rnacentral:misc_RNA from 1 species